UGUUUGUUCCACCUCACAAAAGGGGGAAAAUAUUAAAAUGCCCUCCAUCAAAUCACUCGGGUUUGGUCAGGAAGGGAUCCUAGAAGGCUUAGGCUUCGUGCUCUCCAUUUAUUUUUUCCGCAACUACGAAGACAACGCGUCCAGGCGUCCCCAACUCCCCCAACUCCCAAGGGAGAAGCUACUUAUAGCAGCCACCCCACUGGCAGUGCCUGCCUCAAAGAACGUGAAGUGUUAGUGCUGCGGCCUGCUAUGAAACCCACAAUGUAUGGCAGCGUGAGAAGAAAUACGCAGGAAGGAACUUCAGGAGAUUUCCAGCCUAAAUAAUCCAGAGAAACUUUCUGUUCUUUUUUCAGUCUUUGCAGACAAAUGGCCAGCUAUUAGGAUAUUAAGCCUGAGCAGAAAUAUUUUCCCCACCAGCCUGGGAGCACCUCAAGGGCUGAGACCAAAAUUGUUCCCUGACACAUCCUCAGAAUGCAUCAGGAAAACUGACAGAACAUAGCAGUAAAGCACAUAGUUAGAACUUAAUAAAUGUAUAUGAAGUAUUAUAAAAGGUACAAUACAUUGCAAAACAUAUUUACCUAAUAUUUUGGAAUUGCCAUUAGAACUUUUUGUUAAAUUAAUAAAAAUUGUUUAAAAAUAUUGUACAUGCACUUUUGUGUAGAAACGAGUGGCACAAUUGUACAACUGUUGGUUUAAAAGUGUCAAUCAUACUAAUAAAGAUAACAGUUAACUGAA